ensembl:lncRNA
AAACUAUACUACAUAUUGUUUUAGUACAUCAGAUUAAAGAGGGGGUGUACAUCAAAACUCAGAAGCGACACAAUAACCUGAAUUCACAAACAACUACGUAUGGUUAAAAGGUGUUAAAACUGUGACAUGUAAGAGCACACACUUUUUUCUUCAUGAUCUUGCAUUUAAUGAGCAAGCAGGGCUCUGGUCAGCAUCUAAAGCUGUGAGGGGGUAUGUUGGCACUCACAACAGGAGCAGAGGUGAAGGACUGUUAGGGAGACAGAUGAAAGCAAACUCAAGUAUGGAGUCCAUGUCAUGAGGGUAAUCACAAAUCAGAGUGGAAAGAAUAGGAGGGAGGGGUAAUUAUACAGAUGGAAAGUGGGUGAUUAAACAGUACACAGCAAACCAUGUAGCUCAGCGAUCAGUAAUAGACUGCAUUGCUGGACAGAGAGCCCAGUGCAUUAGUGACAAGUACUGAUAGAGAGAGAGAGAGAGACAGAGGAGAGAGAGAGAGAGAGAGAGAGCGAGAGGAGAGAGAGAGAGAUGAGAGAGAGAGAGAGAGAAGAGAGAGGCACCAGGAUUAUAUAUAAUAUAAUCCACUACUGCCGGACACACAUAGAGGGGGGACCGACGAUAGCAUCCGGAACAGUGGUGUAACUGCCAGUGCUGCCCCAGUGCUACCAGGAGACGGAAGAAUGUCUGGUUUCAGAGUGCUGUUGCUGCUGCUCUGCGUCUCUGGCUCCCAGCUCCCCUGGUGCGCUCGCAGUCCCCAUCGGGCCUUCUCACUUGUGUGGUCCUGAUCUGGCGGACGCCUUGUAUUUGAUCUGUGACAUAUCAUGGCUUCCAAAGAGGCGUGCGGAGGCCAGAGUUGUCCUGGAUCAUAGCAGAGGAAGACAAAAUUCACCAAUGAGCAUUUUUGAGAAGUGCUGUGGCUCAGCCUGUGAUAUUCAUGUCUUGCAGGAAUAUUGUGAAAACAUACAAUAGGUGUUGAUAUUUGGAUUAAUGCCAUAAUAAAUGCCAAUGCUAAACCUGCUAACUGUUGCUGAAAAGCAUUCAGAAUGUCACAUGAACCACAAAAUGUAGGGAUCUAAGUUGUAUUGAAACUAUCUUGCAGUGAUUCGUAGAUGUAACAUUCAGAGAAGGAUUUGUGGAGUUCUAUCCCGAUUGUGUGUUAUGAGUGUGAGAAGGAACAUAACAGAAUACUGUGAUUAAACAUAAUAGAAACCACAUGGUGUGAUCAUAAUAGCCGAUUAAUAUGGAAGUUAAUCUGAAAUUAGUCAUGCAGCCGAAUACUAUGAUACGAUACACAAUAGCCUACAUUUCUCAGACAAAUCACUGUAGAAUAUGUGCUAUGCAUUACAUGGUCAUGGUCAACAAAGGAGGAUGCUUCCCUUUUUUUGCUGGAAAACAAUAUAUGGAUUUUAUUCACUUAGGCUACUCAAACAUUUCUUUAUACAGCACCUGGCACACAUUACACCCAGCAAACAGGGGUUCUAUUGCCCAACUUCAUUCUAGAAACUAUGUUCAAUGCAGUAGCUUCUGCAUGGCAACACAGCUUCAUCAUUUUUGCAGCUAACCUAUUAUUUACCUCCUCCUACCUCCUCUUAUGUUUGAGAAUCAAAUCUGACCAUUUCCAAUAGGCUUUUGUUUUCACAGGCUGUAUUAGUAAUUUAGUAUGAAAUGCAGUCACACUAACUAGGCCUUCUCGGUGUUGAACCAGUUUAGUGGUAGAACUAGGGAUGCUAAACCAGAACUAGAGAUGCUAAACCAGAACUACAGAUGCUAAACCAGAACUAGAGAUGCUAAACCAGAACUACAGAUGCUAAACCAGAACUAGGGAUGCUAAACCAGAACUAGAGAUGCUAAACCAGAACUACAGAUGCUAAACCAGAACUACAGAUGCUAAACCAGAACUACAGAUGCUAAACCAGAACUAGGGAUGCAUUUCCACAAGAAAGUGCAAGUGUGAUUGACCCGCACCAUCAGAGGGCCGUGAUUUUUCUUACUCUAUGCAAGCUAGGUUGACAUGAGCGCUUCAAGCUACGAAGAAUGGUUUGACAUACCCCCAUUGGCAUGUCAUACUGUAGGCUAUGCGCGUAGCUUAGACCUAUGAAAAGAAGGUUUUGACUCUGCUACUCCCUGUUGGAUGAGUGGUAAUGCAUCUGAAAGGUGCAGGGCAGUGUACUUGAUUUCAUGAUUUUUUUGUGUGUUUUUUUUGCAAUCAGAUUUUGUGGUGGUGAUUUGAGAAAUUUUGCGAAUUUUGUUUCUCUUUAAACCCCAUUUAAAUGCCACAAAACAAAUUAUCAGACAGAUUAUCUAUAUGAGUAUUUUUAAUAUGUUUAGUAUUUUGAUACUUUUUGUUUUAAUACUUUUUUUUAUGUUUUUUUUUUUACUUUUCAAUGUUAUUGAAAUAAGUUAAAAUAAAAUGUCAUGCCUUGGUUUGAACCUUUGAACUCCAAAAGCACAAGUUCUUGUUAAUAUUCAGAACAGUAAUCAUGAGUAAUCCUGUACUAUUGUUUAAAGAAAUCUGAACAGAAAACAUUAGAAAACAGGUGACCAAUUGUGUCUACUUCUCCAACAUUCUAAAAUGUUCUUAAUUCUUAAAUCGUGGAAUAAUGAAAAGCUGGAGGGACUGUCCAACGUUUCAACACACCUAACUUAAUCACUCAGAUUAAAAAGUUUACACUAAAUUACACCCAUGAGUAUCGCAGUUAAUGUUCAUGUCUACAUCAUUCGACACCCCUGUUUUGUUGACUUGUUAAGAAGUGUUUGCUAGCAAUCCCAGUAAAUGCAGGCACUUCUCUUUC